rnacentral:tRNA from 1 species
GUACUAGUAGUUCAGAUUCAGAACGCCGGUCUUGUAAGCCGGAUGUCGGAGGUUAAAGUCCCCCCUAAUACU